CCUACGGGGGGCAGCAGUGGGGAAUAUUGGGCAAUGGGCGCAAGCCUGACCCAGCAAUGCCGCGUGAAGGAAGAAGGCCCUCGGGUUGUAAACUUCUUUUAUCAGGGACGAAGGAUGUGACGGUACCUGAUGAAUAAGCUCCGGCUAACUACGUGCCAGCAGCCGCGGUAAUACGUAGGGAGCAAGCGUUGUCCGGAUUUACUGGGUGUAAAGGGUGCGUAGGCGGCCCUGCAAGUCAGAAGUGAAAUCCAUGGGCUUAACCCGUGAACUGCUUUUGAAACUGUAGGGCUUGAGUGAAGUAGAGGCAGGCGGAAUUCCCGGUGUAGCGGUGAAAUGCGUAGAGAUCGGGAGGAACACCAGUGGCGAAGGCGGCCUGCUGGGCUUUAACUGACGCUGAAGCACGAAAGCGUGGGUAGCAAACAGGAUUAGAUACCCUGGUAGUC
rnacentral:rRNA from 1 species